UCGCCUGUUUAUCAAAAACAUCGCCUCUUGAAUAAAUAUAAGAGGUCCCGCCUGCCCCGUGAUUUAUUUAACGGCCGCGGUAUUUUGACCGUGCAAAGGUAGCAUAAUCAAUUGUUCUUUAAAUUAGGACCAGUAUGAACGGCACCACGAAGGCUUAACUGUCUCCCCUCUCCAAUCAAUGAAACUGAUCUUCCCGUGAAGAAGCGGGAAUAAUGAUAUAAGACGAGAAGACCCCAUGGAGCUUCAAACUAAUUAUCAUCUACUUCAAAAAUAUCUGAUAAAAUAGUAGUAAUGCUCUUAAUAGUUUUCGGUUGGGGCAACCCCGGAGUAAAAUUAAACCUCCAGGAUGAAUGGACAAAACCCUAAUUAAAGAAUCACCAUUCGACAACUCAAAAAUUUGACAUCUUUGAUCCAAUUAUAAAUUGAUUGAUCAACGAACCAAGUUACCCUGGGGAUAACAGCGCAAUCCAUUUCAAGAGCCCCUAUCGACAAAUGGGUUUACGACCUCGAUGUUGGAUCGGGGCAUCCUAGCAACGCAGCCGUUGCUUAUGGUUCGUUUGUUCAACGAUUAAAACCCCACAUGAUCUGAGUUCAAACCGGA
rnacentral:rRNA from 1 species